GCCUGAUCCGGAACCCACAGAGGAAGACAUUGAAAAGAAUCCAGAGCUGAAAAAGCUACAGAUCUAUGGGGCAGGCCCCAAGAUGAUGGGCCUGGGCCUCAUGGCCAAAGACAAGACUCUGCGGAAGAAAGAUAAGGAGGGGCCUGAGUGUCCCCCCACAGUAGUGGUGAAGGAGGAGUUAGGUGGGGAUGUGAAGGUGGAGUCAACAUCGCCUAAGACCUUCCUGGAGAGCAAGGAGGAGCUGAGUCACAGCCCAGAACCCUGCACCAAGAUGACCAUGAGGCUACGGAGGAACCACAGCAAUGCCCAGUUUGUAAGGACCCAGCCCUGACUUCUUAAUGCUCUGCUUCUUGUCCCUUCAAUAAGCAUUCCCCUGCAUGGCACUGGACCAGGU
rnacentral:sRNA from 1 species